GGCGCGGGCAGAGAGAGGCGGCAGCGCUUCCGGCGGAACGGGAAGUGACGUGUUCCGUACGGCAGGGUGGCGGCCAGCAGGGCCAGCAUGGCGGCGCCCAGAUUGUUGUACGGACAGGGGAGAACUGGGGAGGACCCAGAUCCCCGCCAAAAGGAUCCUCACAGCUCCCCAGAGGAUCCAAAUAGCCCCGCACAAGCACAUCCCAGUAUCCCCUCCAAAGCAUCUCAGCAUCCCCGCAGUGCAUCGCAGUGUUCCCCCGAGGGUCCCGAUCCCGCUGUGGCCUGGGCUGACCCCUGCACUUGCCCCUACCCCGGGGAUCCCAUUCCCUCCACGGCCAUUUCGGGAUCCUCCUCCCCCGCUAAAUUUAGGGUCGGGAUCGGUUCCAGCUCAGCUGUUGCGGCUCCUCCGCAGGCUCCGGGGCCCCGAUCCCGGCCCAGAGGCGGCAGCAGGGGAGGGCUGGCGGAGCGGCCGGAGCCGAUCCUGGCUGGGAACAGCGCCGCGAUGGAGCCGGGGAAAAAUGCAGCUCUGGAUGAAUGGGACGCACAAAUCCGGAAAUUACCGGAGGAAUUUGGUGAGUCCUUCACCCCGAGCCAGCAGCAGACACUGAUGGAGACAAACAACUUUCUGUUUUUCUAUGCAUUUCAUUUAAUUUUUUUGUUUCCUCCUAAAGAAAGUGACACUGACCUGGAGGAAUGCGACACGGAGAAUGGUGAGUUCCAAAUUCCUAAAUCAUGGAAAAAUUGUUGUCACUAA
rnacentral:lncRNA from 1 species